CUGGGUUCAGUCCCCAGCUCCGGGAAAAAAAAAAAAAAAAGAAAAUCCUGCUAUACCAGGUGACAACUUUUUGGGAUCAGUUCUCUACUAUCACUGUGAGUUCUGAAGAUCAAACUCAGUUUUCAGGCUCAUACAAGCAAGCACUUGAACACACUGGGCCACCUGGCCAGGCCCCAUGUCCAAUUUAAUGCAGUAGUGGAGAUGGGACACAGAGCAACAGAGUCUCCAGUCUUUUCUUUUCUCCCCUUUUCUUCUCAUUUCAUUGUUCUGAAACAGUCUUACUUGAUUUCCCUGGCUAGCACGAAAUGGGGACAAUCCUACCUUUUACCUUUGUCUCCCAAAUGCUGGGAUUAGCAGGUGUGCACCACCACAUCUAACCCAAUAUGCUCUCACGCUUGAAAGUCUUUUAGUUACUGUUUAGUUCAUUUAUAAUAUAUUUGUAAGAAUUUAAAUUUAAUUAGAAGAAAUAAAGUUGAGUUGAGUGGUGACGCAUGCCUUUAAUUCCAGCACUCAGGAGGCAGGUGUAGAAAGAUCUCCAAGUUCGAGGCUAGCCUGGUCUACAGAGUGAGUUCCAGGACAGCCAGGACUACACAGAGAAACCCUGUCUGAAAAAACCAAGCCAAACCAAACCAAACAAUUUUUUUUUUGUUUUUGGUUCUUUUUUUCGGAGCUGGGGACCGAACCCAGGGCCUUGCGCUUCCUAGGUAAGCGCUCUACCAUUGAGCUAAAUCCCCAGCCCCCAAACCAAACAAUUUUUGAUGUGGGAGGAUUGUCAUGGUUUGUAUAUGUUUGGCGCAGUGGCACUAUUAGGAAAUAUAAUCUUGUUGGAGUAGGCAUGUCACUGUGGACACAGGCUUUAAUACCCUUGUCCUAGCUGCCUGGAAGCCAGUAUUCUGCUAGCAGCCUUCAGAUGAAGAUGUAGAACUCCUGCACCAUGCCUUCCUGGAUGCUACCAUGUUCCCGCCUUGAUGAUAAUGGACUGAACCUUUGAACCCAUAAGCCAGUCCCAACUAAAUGUUGACCUUGUAAGAGUUGCCUGGUCAUGGUGUCUCACAUUCACUGCCAGCCGGAUCUACCUGAGCUGGGGACUGAACCCAGGGCCUUGUACUUGCUAGAAGAGGCUGUACAUCUCUAAGGACAAGAGUUACAAGCGGUUGUGAUUCUGUGUGGGUGCUGAGAAUUGAACCCAGAUAUAUUCCCAAAGAGCAGCCUGUACUGACCAGAGAGCUCUGGGCAGAAGUUGAUCAUCAGAAAAUAAAGGGCACUGGGCCAAAGAGCCAAAGGGCAGGCAAG